rnacentral:rRNA from 1 species
CUACGGGGUGCUCCAGUGGGGAAUAUUGCGCAAUGGGGGAAACCCUGACGCAGUGACGCCGUGUGAGUGAUGAAGGUUUUCGGAUCGUAAAGCUCUGUCAGAUGGGAAGAAUAAAGACAGAAAAAAUAUUUCUGCCUGAUGACGGUACCAUCAGAGGAAGCACCGGCUAACUCCGUGCCAGCAGCCGCGGUAAUACGGAGGGUGCAAACGUUGUUCGGAAUUACUGGGCGUAAAGCGCAUGUAGGCGGAUAUGUAGGUCAGAUGUGAAAGCCCUUGGCUCAACCAAGGAAGUGCAUCUGAAACCACAUAUCUUGAGUAUGACAGAGGGAAGUGGAAUUCCAAGUGUAGAGGUGAAAUUCAUAGAUAUUUGGAAGAACACCGGUGGCGAAGGCGGCUUUCUGGGUCAUAACUGACGCUGAGAUGCGAAAGCGUGGGUAGCAAACAGGAUUAGAUACCCUCGUAGUC